UUUCCCUGAUAUUCUACGUAGAGAGAGAGAGAGGGAGAGCGAGAGAGGGGGAGAGAAAAGGAGGAGGAGGUCACGGCAAAGGGGAGGGAGGAAGGAGAGGUCCGUUUUCGACGAUCCAACUCGGUGACAAGUAACGAGCCGGUCUUUUAGGAGGUGCCGAAACCGUAAGUUUGGCAUACUCCAGUCGAAUGAAAGGUGAGUGUGUCUGAUAUGGUUCUUCUCAAUAAGAUAUUGCUAUGGUGGUAUGUAUAUAUCUUGCUAAUGGUAUUUUAGCUUUCAAUAUGAUUAUCGAUAUGUAAAUAAUGUGGUGGAGGUGAUUAUAUAUCAAUGAUAUCAUGCUAAUCGAGGUUUAGCUAUUGAUAUGGAUAUAUGUGGUCGAAAUUUUAUAUCAUGCUAUAUAUUGUUUUAGCUAAUGGUAUGCAUGCUUGUUGUAUGUUGAUUGUACCUGCGAAAGGAUUGUGGAGUGAGUCACGCCAUGUCGUAUGCCAUUCCGUCUAAUUAACGGAGGUUGGGAGCAUGGUUUGCGGGACACAAUGCCUUGGGUACAUGGGAAUGUGGCAGACGUGUCACUGCAUGCUUGUGUGAUUUACAUUCAGGCUGUCGUUAAUUCAGUUAUUGUUACGUGGUUGUUUAUUGGAUAAUAUUGCUAUGUUUGGCGGAUGUGGUGGUUAUAACUAAUAUACUCAUAUGGGUAUUGCAGUUAUGUUGGUGGUGAAUAUUCUGAUUGAUAUUCUUAUGGGUAUUGUGAUAUUUUAUUGAGCAUUUCUAUAUCUCACACACUCUGGCUUUCCUUUUUGGUCUGCCAGGUAGUAGGUUCCUUAGAGUGGUUCCACUACCGGUCGACGUGUUGAGGUGCACUCGAGUAUUAGCUUUGGGAGGUGUUGGUGGUCGAGCGUGCUGUAGGUAGUUAUUGAAGGAAUUGAUUUUUAUAAGUUGUAGUUUAGUCAUUGGUAAAUAUGUUGAAGUAUAGAACUUAAUAAGUCUUGUAGUAGUGGUUAUGGUUUUAGCUAUGCAGGCUUGUGAUUGGUUGAUCGGUGCGUUGACUCAUUUCUGUUUUAUUGUGAGAAGUCUUCCGCUAGGUUGUAUUCUGAUUGGUUGUAGAGUGUAGUGUGGUUUUUUGUGUGGAAUGCCACGUGGCCACGCCGACUCGGGCCUACUUUGGGUGUCGUUUGCGGGGCGGGGCGUGACAUCCUUGAAGCAAAGCAUAAUGCUAAGAGCACUAGUGUUAGUGUGACUUCUCAAGACCAUGGUGAGCCACAAGGUUUGCUGGCUGAGUGCAUAAAAACUCUUAAUGCCAUGAAAGACCUAGAUGGAGCAUCGUAUACGAAAGGGAUGAAACUACUGAAGGAUGACCCUUCAUGGAGACCAAUAUUCCUUGGCAUGUCAGAGCAAAGGAAGAAGGACUUCAUUUCAUAUGUGUGAACUUUUGUUUAUGGUUGGUUUGGUUUAGGACAUGGUUAUGUAGUUGGUUUGUAAGCUUUUGUGGAUUGUAAGACUUAUGUGGUUGGUUUGUUUUCUCUUCUUGUUGGACAACUAUUUGGAUAUGGAACUUUUGUGGUUUAUUUUCUUGUUGGACUACUGUUAAUGGGCAAUCUUUAUGAUGUCACUGGGCAAUCUUCUUUUUCAGCAGUUUUUAGUACUUUGUUGGCCUUUUUGCAGUAUACAAUUCUAUCCCUAUAUUUAUCUCCCUUCUUUGUUUCAAUUAUGUUCUACACAAGAUUAUAUGUGGCUAAUGUAACAUUUCAUUGAAGGUAAUGGAAGUAUCUAAUGCUCGAAAGGAUGUCGUUGCUGACUCAGAUGACAUGGUCUUUGAAGAAGGCCAAUCAUCAGAGUCUGUCAACAAUAUAUGCAAGUCUGUCGGCCAUGUACAUGACUAUGAAAGCUCAAACACAAUCUCUCUCAAGUUGGGUGUUCAAAUUCUAUAGCAAGGAAGAUUUGAUUGUUGAAAGUGAGCAAGGCCGUAGGAGCUCUUCUCAACAGAUUAAUGUCACCCCCGCUCAAUUGCGAGAAAUGGCUAGAGUUCGCAAUACUAUUGCCCGCCAAAUCUUUAAUAGCCAAAGGCUUUGAUGCAUUGGUAGUGAAGCAUCCAUUGCAGUAGUGGUAAGAGACUCCAAAGGCAGAAUUGUCCAUUGGCAGAAUUGAUAGCAUUUUACAAGGAUGUUUUGACAGCUCUUGUUUCUUUGUCAGAAUUCAUGUUUUUGUACUUUCCUUACUUGCUUUUAUGAGACUAUGAGAGUGAUUGGAGUGGUUUGAUUUUCA